CUUGGACACCCGAAACACCAGGUAAACGGGUUAGGAAUUUAAGGGUUGUUGGGGAACCGGGAUUGAGAAGAUUGGGAAGGGGGGUAAUUGUGCCUCCGAUAAUCUCACUCACACAACGCAAGCAUUGUUUCAUGUCGGAUUUCUGUAAGCUAGUAAAUAUACAAAUGGACUUUGUACCAGUAACUAAACCAAUACGUAUGACUUGAUAUCAAAAAUGUGGACUUUACCUUCAAGAAUAUAACAAGUCAUUGUGUUAAGAAUUAGCUGAGUCACAUUCGUUAUCAGAACCGAAAUACUUAAUGGAGAAUGACAAACUAGAAUUUGAAAUAUAUAAAAGGGAAUACAGAGUGAGAUUUCUGUUAGUCUACUCUCAAAUUUUGAAUAGGCAACGUCUUAUAACACUGAUGUAGACACUUUGAUCAACGCUUCGCAAGUAGUCUUCUGUCUACGCGCAGCCAUGCAGAAUCUACACAUGCAGAAACUACAUUCACUGUGCGCCUUUCCACCUCUUUCUGCGCGUUUAGCGAAGAAUGGCAUUAGGACUCCUUGGUCGCAACACUUGGAAAAAAUCAAACUGUCAAAUUCGAAAAUUGGCGCGAGAACGAAACGUCAAAAAUGUCAGAUUAUAAUUAUUAUUCACAGUUUUUCUUUUCUCUGUCUCACUUGAAAAGAUAAAUUAAAAAAUGUUUCUAGAAAAUACGAUUGUUUGUUACUUAUAGUUUUUUUUUAUUAUAUUUAUCACUCUCUGAAUCACUUUACAAUAUUACACUUCAUCACGAAUAAACGAUACACGUAUGAGUAGAUUCCCAUGUUUGUUUUAUAAAUUGCGUCAAUGCUUUUCAAAUAUACACAUUCUUAUGUCAAUAUCCUUUUGUAAAACGAUUUAAAUUAAUCACGAAAUAUUCUUCAAUAACACAAAUCGAUUUUAACACAAAAAAUCUUUGGUAAUAAAGAGUAUAGGAACACAAUCACACCACUGACGUUUUGAACUUUUAAUUUCACUAUUUAGAAAGCAAAGGCACCACGUAUACAGCCACUAGACAAACUAUCAAA